UAAUUUUGAGUUUUUGACAACGAGAACGACGUCCUUCUAAUCAAAAUAAAAUUUCGGGUUUUCCCGUUUUAUUUCCAAAUGUAAAUUAAACAGUAUAACGAAAACAUAUCCGAACAAAGCUGUCUUGAACCUAAAUCGAUGUCACCUACUAACAGUCUUCAACUAACUUCCUUUGUACAUCAAAAUUACCGAUACCAAAGCAGCAGUUUGCUAUCUACUUAGAUAAAAGUUUACCAAAUGAAUAAGCGCCGUUUACACGUUUAAACUGUACACAUUCCGAGGCUAGUUAUUCCAUAUGGCUCUAACAAUGGACAGCAAUGUAGUUCGUUUUGUAACAAAAGACACAGAUAAAAUCACCAGGGAGAACUAUGAGAACUUCAAGACACAGAUACAAAAAAUCGACGGGACCGUCGUUGCGUAUCCUCAAGAUCUAUCUUACCUAGAUGUUACGAUACCGGAGGCGAAUUAUCAUCUGGUACAGGAUGCCACCGAGACUCUCGGCUUGAGACCGUUGACCGACGUGAGUAAGGAGAGUGGGGCAUCGCUGCUUACCGCCACCGGCGACGGGUACAGAAAUGAGGCGCCCGGUCCGGAAAGCGCCGUCAGAGUUAAUAUUAUUGGCAUGACGUGUCAGUCUUGCGUACGUAACAUUGAAGAAACGGUAGGGAAGAGGCCCGGUAUUGUUAGUAUUAAGGUUCAUUUAGCAGAGAAGUUCAGCUUCGUGCUGUACGACACGAGCCGGUUAACGCCGCAGGAUAUCUGCGAUUAUAUCGAGGAUAUCGGUUUCGAGGCGUCACUGCCGCUUCUGCAGGAUAGCGAAGGUUUAGUCAAUACGUGUGUCGUACAUAUCGAGGGGAUGACGUGCAAUUCGUGCGUGAAGAGCAUAGAAGGUAUGCUUAGCGUUAAGGAAGGAAUUAGAGAUGUGAAAGUGAAUUUAAAUGAUAAGGAAGGUAUUAUACAGUUCGUGGCCAAGGUCUCGCCAGAUGACAUCAUAGAGCAGAUUAAGGAUAUGGGAUUCGAUUGUUACAUCAAGGCAGUGAAUGGAAAGACAGUUAAAAGGGAUUCAGACAGUCCACCGCACGAAAUUGUCCAAAUACAGAAACAGCAAGAGGAAGAUGUUUAUUUAGAAAAAUGCCAACUGCACAUAAAGGGAAUGACUUGCGGAUCGUGCGUCGCCGCCAUCGAAAAGCACUGUCUGAAAAUAACAGGAUGUCACAAUAUACUGGUGGCGCUGCUUGCCGCAAGGGCCGAGGUUACCUACGAUCCGUCGUGCGUCACGCCCAGAGAGAUAGCCGACUCGAUUUCGAACCUCGGAUUUCCGUCGUCGGUGCUGCAGCAGGCGGGCGCCGGCGAAUCGGAUGUCGACCUGCAAAUUUCGGGGAUGACCUGCGCCAGUUGCGUUUACAAAAUCGAAAGCUCGAUCUCGCAACUGCCGGGCGUGCUCGGCGCCAAAGUCGCACUGACCACGCAGAAGGGUCGAUUUAGGUACGAUCCAGAGGUGACGGGCGCGCGUUUUAUCAUCGACGCGAUCAACGCGCUCGGGUUUCACGCCGAGCUGUCGUCGCGCGAGCGCAAUAACGACUACCUGAAGCAGAAGGAGGAGAUUCGCAAGUGGUGGCACGCGUUCCUGGUGUCGUUGGUGUUCGGCGGACCGUGCAUGCUCGCGAUGACGUACUUCAUGAUCGCGAUGUCGGCGGGGUAUAUGUCGCACGAGGAGAUGUGCUGCGUUGUUCCGGGACUGUCGCUCGAGAACUUGAUCAUGUGGGUGCUUUCGACGCCUGUGCUGUUAUUCGGAGGCAAGCACUUCUUUAUACAGGCGGCGAAGGCGCUGAAACAUCGCACGACGAACAUGGACGUGCUGAUAGCGAUGGCCACCUCCAUUUCGUACGUUUACAGCUUGUGCGUCAUCAUCGCCGCGAUGGUUUUGCAGCAGAAAACGUCGCCCCAAACUUUUUUCGACACGCCCCCCAUGCUUCUGCUGUUCAUCAGUUUGGGAAGGUGGCUCGAGCACAUCGCAAAGGGACAGACUUCGGAGGCGCUAUCGCGUCUGUUGUCGCUCAAGGCGACGGACGCGGUUCUCGUUACGUUAGGCUCGGAGGGUGAGAUCCGGACCGAAAGUCAAGUGAAGGUGGAUCUCGUUCAGAGGGGCGAUUAUCUCAAAGUGAUUCCGGGUGCCAAAGUUCCGGUCGACGGACGCGUCGUGCAAGGAAGGUCCAUGUGCGACGAGAGCCUAAUAACCGGCGAGAGUAUGCCAGUGCCAAAAAAAAUCGACAGCAACGUCAUCGGCGGUUCGAUUAAUCAACAUGGACUGCUGAUAAUUCAAGCCACGCACACGGGCGAGGCGACGACACUCUCGCAAAUCGUCCGACUCGUCGAAGAAGCACAAACGUCGAAGGCUCCGAUUCAACAAUUGGCCGAUCGAAUCGCCGGGUACUUCGUCCCAAUCGUCGUCUUUCUCGCGCUGCUGACGCUAGUCGUCUGGUCGAUAAUCGGAGCGGUUAAUAUCGCGAAUCUUCCCAUUUCGGAGGCGGAGAAGGAGGGGUUUAGUAAUUCCGAGAUAAUCUUGCAGUUCGUGUUCAGAUGCGCCCUAAGCGUGCUGGCGAUAGCGUGUCCGUGCGCUUUGGGUUUGGCCACCCCGACGGCGGUUAUGGUCGGCACCGGCGUCGGCGCGCUGAACGGUAUUCUAAUCAAGGGCGCCGAGCCGCUCGAGAACGCGCACAAAGUUCGGGCGAUAAUGUUCGACAAGACCGGCACAAUCACCAAGGGAGUUCCGGCCGUUUCCAGGAUAUGGUUGCAGGCCGACGUUGUCAGUCCCGCUGUGAUCUUCUCGGCUUUGGGAUGCGCCGAGAGUAGCAGCGAACAUCCGAUCGCGACGGCCAUAGUUACUUUCGUCAAGGACUCGCUUACUACCGAACUGAGCGGCGCCUGCGACAAUUUCCAGGCGGUUCCCGGUUGCGGUUUAAAGUGCACAGUGUCGAGGAUCUCGGGAAUGGUGAAGAACGCAAAGAAUUCGAUCGAGUUCAGUCACUUCUCGUCGCUGAUCGGCGGCGGAAGUUCGGGCUUUUUCACGCUGCACGGCGUUGCAAUCGAAGUUACCAACAGCGGCGGGCAAAACUUGAAGUUGGGAGAGUUAAUUGGGAUCGAAAGACCCGCCGAGCAUGGCAGUGGCCAGUAUGAGGUAAUUGUUGGAAAUCGAGAGUGGAUGAAUCGAAACGGAUUAAUAAUUCAGGACGACAUCGAUCGAAAAAUGAUGAUCGAAGAGGAACAAGGACGAUCGGCCGUCCUGUGCGCCAUUGACGGCCAGAUCGUUGCUAUGCUAAGCGUAGCGGAUACGGUGAAACCGGAAGCCCACCUGGCCGUCUAUUGCCUGAAGAAGAUGGGACUCGACGUGAUUCUACUGACGGGGGAUAAUAGACAGACCGCGGCAAGCAUCGCGCGACAAGUCGGUAUAACGAAGGUGUACGCCGAGGUUCUUCCGUCGCAUAAAGUCGCUCGCGUGCAAAGGUUGCAAUCCAAAGGUAUUAAGGUGUGUAUGGUGGGGGACGGUGUCAACGACUCGCCCGCUCUUGCACAGGCAGAUGUUGGUAUGGCCAUCGCGGCCGGUACCGAUGUGGCGGUCGAGGCCGCUCAUAUUGUACUUAUGCGUAACGAUCUCUUAGACGUCGUCGCCUGUUUGGAGCUAUCCCGCAAGACAGUACGACGGAUACGGCUCAAUUUUCUUUUUGCGAGCAUGUACAAUCUCCUAGGUAUUCCACUCGCCGCCGGGGUCUUCAGCAACUUCGGCCUAGUCUUACAGCCUUGGAUGGCGUCCGCCGCCAUGGCGCUUAGUUCAGUAUCGGUGGUCGGUUCUAGUCUCUUAUUAAAAACGUGGAAGAAAUCUACCAAACGCGAUCUGGAGACGCCGGAAUAUUUAAGUCUGGCGAAACACGACGAGUUAGAUACAAUUUCGAUUCAUCGCGGUCUCGACGAUUUGGAACAGCUCAACGGAACGCCUACCGCCAUAUCAAGGAUUUUGGGACGAAAGAAGAUCGAAGAACCCCUUCUUCUCUCUGUGGAUUGAAUCUGUGCAUAAUUUUAUUUAAGAAGUAAGCUUUAAAUUUUAUUCGUACGUGUGGUAACCUCCUUUACUUAAUGGUUUGCUGUGAUUUUGUCUUAUUCUGGAAGAUGCGUGAGUUCUGACGAAGAUAUACUUAACCGUGCAUUUUUUCAGGUUACAGCAAAUAGUCCAAUUGUAUGUGAAUGAUGGGUGGAUAUACUCAGUGCGUCAUGUUUCGAGGCUGUGGCACAUUUUUCUAAUAAAGAAAAGUUAGGUUAGAAAGAUCGAUCAAGUGCACCUUAUGUCCAAAUUGGCUCCUACCUACCACACCUGCGCAUGCCAGAUGCUUUUUUGUAUGUUUGCUUUAAAAAAAUUAAGAAAAAAUCUUAAACUUGCAAAUAAGGGUACGCAUUUAAAAAGAAAUGUCUGUACCAAAGAAUCAAACUCGAGUCGCCCGAUGCAAACCUAGUAUCCGUGCCAGUAGACGAUUCCAUCGUGAUUGAAAUGAGAAUUACACGGCAAGAAUAAGCUUUGGAAAUGGUAGUUCACCAAGCAAAAAUAGAAAUAGGUUGGGGAAAAAAGAACUUACCAA